rnacentral:rRNA from 1 species
AUUGAACGCUGGCGGCAGGCCUAACACAUGCAAGUCGAACGGUAACAGGAAACCGCUUGCUGUUUCGCUGACGAGUGGCGGACGGGUGAGUAAUGUCUGGGAAACUGCCUGAUGGAGGGGGAUAACUACUGGAAACGGUAGCUAAUACCGCAUAACGUCGCAAGACCAAAGAGGGGGACCUUCGGGCCUCUUGCCAUCGGAUGUGCCCAGAUGGGAUUAGCUAGUAGGUGGGGUAACGGCUCACCUAGGCGACGAUCCCUAGCUGGUCUGAGAGGAUGACAAGCAACACUGGAACGGGGAAACGGUCCGACCCCUAAGGGAGGCAGCAGUGGGGAAUAUUGCACAAUGGGCGCAAGCCUGAUGCAGCCAUGCCGCGUGUAUGAAGAAGGCCUUCGGGUUGUAAAGUACUUUCAGCGGGGAUGAAGGGAGUAAAGUUAAUACCUUUGCUCAUUGACGUUACCCGCAGAAGAAGCACCGGCUAACUCCGUG